UGAGGAAUAUUGGUCAAUGGGGGCAACCCUGAACCAGCCAAGUCGCGUGAAGGAUGAAGGUCUUAUGGAUUGUAAACUUCUUUUACACGGGAAUAAAGCGGGGGACGUGUCCCUCUUUGCAUGUACCGUGUGAAUAAGGAUCGGCUAACUCCGUGCCAGCAGCCGCGGUAAUACGGAGGAUCCGAGCGUUAUCCGGAUUUAUUGGGUUUGAAGGGUGCGCAGGCGGGAUGUUAAGUCGGCGGUGAAAUUUUGCAGCUCAACUGUAAAAGUGCCUUCGAUACUGGCCUUCUUGAGUGUGGAUGAAGUAGGCGGAAUUUGUGGUGUAGCGGUGAAAUGCUUAGAUAUCACGAGGAACUCCGAUUGCGCAGGCAGCUUACUAAGCCACAACUGACGCUCAUGCACGAAGGCGUGGGGAUCAAACA
rnacentral:rRNA from 1 species